CAAUAGCGUAUAUUAAAGUUGUUGCAGUUAAAAAGCUCGUAGUUGGAUUUCUGGCAGGAGCGACCGGUCACACACUCUGUGUGUGAACUUGUGUUGUCUCUGGCCAUCCUUGGGGAGAUCCUGUUUGGCAUUAAGUUGUCGGGCAGGGGACAUCCAUCGUUUACUGUGAAAAAUUAGAGUGUUUAAAGCAGGCUUAUGCCGUUGAAUAUAUUAGCAUGGAAUAAUAAGAUAGGACUUCGGAACUAUUUUGUUGGUUUGCGUUACGAAGUAAUGAUUAAUAGGGACAGUUGGGGGUGCUAGUAUUUAGGGGCCAGAGGUGAAAUUCUUGGAUUCUCUAAAGACUAACUUAUGCGAAAGCAUUCACCAAGGAUGUCUUCUUUAAUCAAGAACGAAAGUUGGGGGAUCGAAGACGAUCAGAUACCAU
rnacentral:rRNA from 1 species